AUUAUAGAUAAAGUCCUAACUACAUUCAAUCAUCAUCCUCCAAUCGCUGCCCUCCUCCCACAUCCGCCCUCCUUCUCCACAUACGCCGUCGCCGGCACUGCCACCUCCACCUCCACCUUAUCAGGCUAGCGCCACCUCCCUUCUACCUGAACCCAAACCGCCUCCACGUAAUCUGCCUCUCUCCCCUUCGGCGGACGGCUGUUCGGUGAGUGCUCGUCCGCGCCCCAUCGUUUGAAGCAGCCGCACCCGCACAGGCACAGAGCAGGCAGCGCUCCUCCGUCGUCGCUCGCCAGCUCGCCGUUCGCCUUCUCCAGCCACCCCGAGUUCCCUCCGACUCACCGUCAGUUAGCAGCCACCAGAAAUGGGAGCCUAUUGUUGGGUAUUCAUCUGGAAUUGUUGGUGGAAUUGUUGGUGUUGUGAUCUCUGACCCUGCUGAUAACAUAGUUUCAUCUCUUUACAAUAUAUUGUUCGUGGAGUUGUACGUUGAGAAGGUUAACAACAGAGGGCUUUGCGCCAUUGCCCGGGCCAAAUCCCUUCACUACAAACUCCUUGGCGGUCUUGCUGUCAGGCGUACAUGCUAUUGGAGUUUUGAGAUUUGUUAUGGAGAAUGGAGCAAAGGGUUGUGAGUUAGUGGGAAACUUAGGGCUCAGCGGGCUAAGUCCAUGAAAUUCAAGGAUGGGUACAUGAUUUCUUCUGGUCAACCAGUGAAGGAAUACAUAGACUCUGCUGUUAGACAUGUUCUGCUCAGACAGAAUAUCACGAAGAAAUCAAGGGAAUCUAUUUAUACUUGGAAUGGUGAAUAAGGAGAGGUUGGGGAAGAUGAAGAAGAAAGCCGUCCUUAUUAACUGCAGCAGAGAACCUAUGACUGAUGAGGCUGCUCUUGUCGACCACUUGAGAGCAAAUCCUAUGUUUGGAGUUGGUCUUGAUGUCUUUGAUAGCUAUCAAUAGUUAUUUUGAUGAUACAAUGUUUGGAUGAUUAAGUAUUUAUAUAAUAUGUUUGGUUGUAGUA